ensembl:lncRNA
GAAAUAUGCUCCUUGCUCAGCCUCACACCUUCCCCUCCACUGUGAAUGAGGAAGCAGGGAACACAAAUUAAAAUAAUGUUGAUUUAGUUUUUAAAGGGAGUGCCCGGGAGCGUUUUCUGCAUGGCCAGCUGAAAACCCCAGCCCCAGAUGCUCGGUGCCUCCCUUGCACAAUACAAAGAGAAUAUUUGAUACCCAGAGCUCAGCCCAUGAGUGGAUUUUUAUUUUGUUUUUGGCUUUUGUUUCCUUUACGCAUUCCUUUGGAUUUCAAACUUUUAAACGCCAACUUGAAAAUUCCUUUUUCUGCAAAAGGUCUCUACUCCUGCAGGGCUCCCUGGACUCAGUCCUCACCCACAGACGUCUGUGAUCUGGACGCUUUGCAUAUGGGACGCAGACAGGGAAGUUGACUGCCUGUGCAUAGGUACAGUGUAGGUCACUGUGUCUUUUCACCUGCUUGGGUGCCCCCAGGUGAUGGAGAGCUCAGGAAAUCAGGUCUUCAGGCUUGUUACUGGCAAUUCAGCCACCUCCUCAAGCCCUGCCGACACCAGGUUUAAAUUCAGACAGUGGCAGGCACUCGAAGCCAGUGAGGCCCCUGGGAUGAUUCCUCGUGAAAUGAAGGCGUUCGUGGUCAGCCGUGGUGAAGAAGUGUCAGGGCUUGCAAAGGGGGCUGAGUACUCAGGCAGACCUGUGUCAUACCCCUAGCUCCACCACUAAUUAGCUGCAUACCCCUAAUGAAGUUCUUUAACCUCUCUAAACCUCAGUCUCCCAUCUUUAAAACAGGAGUUGUAACGCUCCCCUCGCAGAAUGGCAUUGAAGAUUAAGUUAGAUAAAGUGGUCAGGCCACUCAAGAUGACUGUUUUCAUGCUCUGUGUGCAUUCCUGGCUCUACCAGCAUCUGCUUCACCUACACCCUACUCAAAUGACUGGCCUUCCCCUAUACCUGCCCCAGCCACUGAUCCUUCUAACCUUUAGAUCAGAAUAUCUUCACCUGUUGGCUUAUUAAAGGAGUGGUGAGGGGCCUGCCCCUCUGCUGAUCUCCCUGGUAACUGAUGAGCCAACCUGAAGUAAUUCUCUCAAUAACUAGUAACCUCCCCUUCCCCCAGAAGUCAUGAAGACUGCUGCCCUGUCCUGCCGUCAUCUGCCGCACCCUCUGGGUGUCGCUUCAGAACCUGGCUUCAGACGUUUCAAGAACCUCUCCAGGUAUUUUUAUAGCAAGAGUGGGCUAAGUGGGAGUGACCUGCCUCUUGUAGUCAAGAUUCUGGCAACCAGAUAGGAAAAAUGAGGUGGAGUCCCCCAUGGUGGGAUUAGUGCUCUUCUAAGAGUAAGAAGAGGCCAAAGCCCUCUCUGUCUGCCACAUGAAGGCACAGCAGGAAGGAUGUUGUCUACCAGAAGAGCCAUCACUAAGCCUGAAUCUGCUGGCACCUUGAUCUUGGACUUCCCAGAACUGAAGGUUCUUUACCACUAGCGCUACCUGGGAAGCCCCUUGAAGGCUGAGCUCCUUUGAAAGAGGCUUUGAUUUGUAAACCUAGGAGGCUGAAAACUUGAGUCCUUCUAAGAACAGAUCAGAAUGGAACUCCCUCUGGAGACAGUGUGGGGUUGGGCUUGGACACACAGACACACAAGGAAGAGAAGACAGCCAGCGGGUUAGAGAGAAGAGAGAGGAAAUAUCUCAGGACUCCCACUGCAGAUUGUCCCCCUCCCCUCCCGCCCCCACCCGCAACCAGAGCACUUCAUUUCCAACGAAAUAUGAAUCAAGAAAGAGUGUUGGGCACACGCGGUAAUGAAAAUCCAUGAUUCAAC